ACCCUCCGACAGUGCGGCGCCCCCUCAGCGCUGACCCUCUGACUGUGUACCUGACUGCUCAGGGGAAUCUGUCUGAGUUGUGGAAUCAUCGUUUCUAUCUUGGGAGUUGGGUGGUGACAGAGUAUCCCAUUUUGAGAAUGUGGAGCUCUCCUGAAACUGCAAACCUGGGAGCUGGGGCUGGCCCUCACUUUGUUUGUCUGUAGCUCAUGUUACUGUGUUCCUAAGGUAGUGUCUCCAGGCUCUUACUGGGCUCUCUGAGGGAGGCAGCUGGUUUGGCCAGUGUACAUUCACCUGUCACUCUUUCUGAAUUCUCACUCCACAGGCACCGGAGCAGGAUGUGAGGACACAAACUGGACCCAAACCUGCCUUCCACUUGGCCAGUUCCUUUGUCAGCGUGAGCCAGCAGACCAGGAAGAGACAGUGGAAUGAUGAUGUGAUCGAGAUCAACAGAUUUACUGUCUCUCCCAGCCUGCUGUGUCCAUCUCACUGGUCAAUGGCUUCAUAUGAGGCCCAGACUGAAACACAGCCCCCAGUAUUGAAGAAGGAGAAUACGCAGGAGCAGGGUUCUGGCUUCUCCCAGGAUUGGAUUGACAGAUCCCAACCACCUGUGUUAAAGCAGGAACGCCUGGAGAAGACCAAAAGUGUGGAGUUUGAGAAUCAUUGACUGGCUAAUUGGGGAGCUGGGAUUGAUGUUCAGAACAGAUGACCAGACUGCUCUCUGGUCUGACCUCUGUCUGCUAGUUGUCAGCUUGCUGCAUAUAAACCUUCUCAGACCUGUUCCUAUUGCACAGCGUUCACAUCCCCCAAGCUGUCAAGUUGUACCGUGCUGCUGCUGCUGUUGGCUUGAGUGAUCUUCACUCUGUGUAAUUCUGCUGUCAUAGGCUUUCCAAUAUCGUUGUUGCCUGAUCUCAGUGCCGUUCUGAGAAACUCCGCAACAAACUUUUUGACGCAAAUCUUUGCAGGUCCGGGAUGGUUUGACCUGAGGUUGUGUUCAUCUGAGCUCCAGUUUAUAUGAUCGGCAGUGGCUGAAUGAGACUGAUUAAUUCGUGAGUGGAAACCCAGCUUCCAAUCAUUUAAAACUGCUAGAAAAAAAAACUCCACUCUCCCAGUUUGGAGUUCUCUGAUUUUUUUGUAUUGAUUGGUUGUUUGAAUUUGCACUUGUUAAAAUGAACAGCAGGUCCUUGGAGUGAGUGAGUGUCACUUCCCUGGAGGGAGGUGGUUACAGAUGUCUGCACUAUUUUGUGUCCUGUCUGCCUUAAGGUAAUUGUAAUAAUCCCACAGCCACUAUGUUUAAGAGCAAGAUAUUUUUAAAAAGAAAUCCCUUUGAUCAUUAUCGUGUUGGUGUGUGUGGGAUCUUGCUGUGCACAAAUUGGCAGGCUUGCUUCCUAAAUUACAACAGAGGCUGAUUUACCACUGUUCAAGCGAGGUUUAUGAAUUAUUUCACUAAUUGAUGCUGCUGGUUCUGUUUUAGACUUUGUCUGUAACUGAGAUGACAAUGGUUGGAAUUUAUUGAACCAAAGAUUAUUUGCUGCUUUGUGCCUUUCAUUUGUAGGGGGAUCAAGUUUAAGAGCUGUGAGGCUAUGCUGCAGGUCUAUAGAGCCCUGGUUAGAUCACACUUGGAAU